UGCAAGUCGAGCGGAAACGAUGAAGAGCUUGCUCUUUAGGCGUCGAGCGGCGGACGGGUGAGUAAUGCUUGGGAAUAUGCCUUAUGGUGGGGGACAACAGUUGGAAACGACUGCUAAUACCGCAUAACGUCUACGGACCAAAGGGGGGGAUCUUCGGACCUCUCGCCAUUUGAUUAGCCCAAGUGAGAUUAGCUAGUAGGUGAGGUAAGAGCUCACCUAGGCGACGAUCUCUAGCUGGUUUGAGAGGAUGAUCAGCCACACUGGGACUGAGACACGGCCCAGACUCCUACGGGAGGCAGCAGUGGGGAAUAUUGCACAAUGGGGGAAACCCUGAUGCAGCCAUGCCGCGUGUGUGAAGAAGGCCUUCGGGUUGUAAAGCACUUUCAGUUGUGAGGAAAGGGGUGUCGUUAAUAGCGGCAUUCUGUGACGUUAACAACAGAAGAAGCACCGGCUAACUUCGUGCCAGCAGCCGCGGUAAUACGAGGGGUGCAAGCGUUAAUCGGAAUUACUGGGCGUAAAGCGUACGUAGGCGGUCUAUUAAGCAAGAUGUGAAAGCCCAGGGCUCAACCUUGGAACUGCAUUUUGAACUGGUAGACUAGAGUACUGUAGA
rnacentral:rRNA from 1 species